CUUUAUUGACCUCUGUAUACAACACCAUGUUUUACAGCCCCAGAAGAAAGAAAUCCACUUUUUAAUUAGAGCUGCAGCAGUUUAUAUAUCUAAGUCUGGCAGUGGAGGCUCAGCCGCGCCGCGACAGCAGCAGCAAUAUGGGCUCAGUGGAGGUGCUGACGUCUCAGAGCAGUGAGGAGAUCUCACCAGAGCAACGUCUACCUUCAGGUAUCGGCUCUUCCAUGAGGGAAAAGAAUGCUUUGGGAAGCCCUGUUUCACCCUCCUUAGCCAGAGGUUAACACGCUCAUUCUACCCCUGUGGAAGUGGAGUUGGAAGAUUUUUGAGGUGCUCCCCUGGACCAGAUGUGGCACCCCUUGCCCCACGUCCUGAUGACCUUUUCCUCAGCCUGUGGUUUGUGCCCGUGACUGCCACAUCCUCGGCGAGCAGGGAUUACCUUUUGCAAUCAGAUGUUAUAAAUGGAGCACACUUAAUCAGCCUUUCUCGUGGCUGUCGCCCUUAUGACAGAGGAAAAUAUUCUCCCGUCGUGUAUUUAUUAACAUUCUGCAUACAACAUCCAGAGCAGAGUAUCCCUCUGUCACCAGAUGCUGCUGGAAUCUUGCCGCCCGGGCGGGCAGGAGGACUCAGCCUGGAGCGGGAGGUUCUGCCUAUCCCAGAUCGCAGGUGCAGCACAGCUUCCUGCAAAAAGCCACAGAGCAGACCAGCAGCAAUAGAAGAAACUUCACCAAAUGCCUCUCCCAUGCCUCUGGAAGAGUUGCAUGGCACAACCUUGACACAGGCAGCAGAGACCUUGCAGCACAGCUGGGAAGCUGGCAAGCACAGCAGCAGCUCCUGCUCCUCCCCAAAAGCUCACAUAGAAAUUCCAGCCCUGAUUCUGCACAGGAUGUGUGGGAUCCUGACUAACACACCUUGCAUAACCGUGACUGGGAAAUCGCCCCAUCAUGCGAGGGAAAGCACAGCAAAAACACAGAUGGAGGCUGAAAAUAAGGAGCUGGGAUCAUUUUGCCGGCUAGCUGUAGGAGUGGCUCUCAAAUUCCUUCCGAAGGCCGAUGGUGUUAAUGCAUGCCUUAAUGAUCUGGAAAAGAGGUGAGCAGUGAGGUGGCAAAUCUGCAGAUGGCCCCAAAUUGUCACAGUUGCUUGGGAUGAGACUGCAAAGAUCAUUUUUAUGGCAAGUCCCCUGCCCAGGACCUCGACUGCCGAUUUGGGGUGGGACUGGAGGGGUCCCAGCCAUUCGAGGCUCGCUGCUGGCACUCUGAAUCCUGGCUACAGCACACAAGGCAGCAAAGCUUCAGAUCCUCACGGACAGUCCAUGUCGUUCACAUAGCUCCCAAAAUAAAGCCUGUGAAAGCAAAUUUUGGAGUCA
rnacentral:lncRNA from 1 species